UCCCCGAGACACAAUGGGGGCCUUGUGCUGGGUGUGGCCUCUUGGAGGAGUGCUGGGGAGCACGCGCCGCCCGUGGAUCCGCUCCCUCCAGCGCGUCCCAGGAUAGGUGGGACUUCAGGUGGGUCGGACGGAAGGCUGCCACCUGCGCUCCGGACCAGGACGGCCUAGCGGGACUCUUCUAUUCCUCUGCUGGUGGGCAAACCAACAGUUUACUCGCUUAAAAGAAAACCAAAGAACCUUCAUUUAUCAUUGGAAACUCUAAACCAAAGCUCACAG